UACGUAUCUCCUGCGGAAGUGAAUGUCCCAUGACCGGAAGUGAGGGAACAGCCGCUGUUUCCCAUGCGGUGCUUCUCCAAUGAACACCUUCAUGUGAGCUCCGCAAGUUAGACACUUUCAAGAGGAAACGAAAACUCAGGGAUUCUAAGGUAGCUCUAUGCUACCUCCAAGAGCGUCCAGCAGGAGAAUGGGGGAGCCCUGGACAGUCCCCACCUGGCACCCUCCAGACAGAGCUUUGAAGGAAAGGCUUGAAAGCUACAAGGAAUAUGAGAUGCAAUUAGACCCGGGUUUGAAGACUCCUCUUCCAUGCAGCAUUGUGAUCUGGGGUGAAGUCCACGGGGACAGCGGGGUGCACACACAAGCAGAGGAGAUAGGUGCAGUAUACAGUCCUCAGUUUCUUGCGAUGCAUUUGCAUAUAAUGUCAGACGAUGCCACAUGAACACAGAAUUCUGAUGGACCAGAGACGUGUGGGAGUUCAGUGAGACUCAAAGCCAUUACAAGUUAUCACCAGGCCAAGGUGUGAAGCCUUGUACCAAGACCACAGAAGUGGAGCCCAGAACCAGUCACCUCUGAAGCUAACUGAGUCCCUUUGUAACUGUUGCCAAAAGCCCCUGAUCAUCCCUAAUAAGCUUCCUGACUCCAAAUUAGGCAAAGGUGCCCACUCCAGUGAACAUGCUGUAGCCCCCUAACCAAUCACCUAAUGCCACGCUUCCGGGAGGAAUUUUCUUUGUCUUGAGGCUAUAAAAAUUGGCUAUUGACUCACGAAAACAGUCGACUCUCCCUGGUCUGUGAGGAGGUUGGCCCACUGUGCUCGCAGUGCCCACCUUAUCUCUACUCUUAAUAAACGCACUCCCUUCUGAAAUGCUA
ensembl:lncRNA